AGCCAUGACCUUGUCCUUCCAGGCCGUGCGCAAAUCACCGAAUCUUUGGUAUCCGGCCUCCAGCUCGGAUAUGUUAUAAAUCAGCUGCAAAAAUGAAGCUGACCGUCAGAAGACCGAACUUAUUUCAAAUGAUAAUGAAAAUGAAAAGGAGGAAGACUUAUCCGGAUCAUAGUCGGAUAGAACGAGGACAGCAUGUCAGAGACACGCUGAUUCUUCAUAGCCUCAACGUCGGUCGGGAGGAUGAGCGCCUGGCAUAGCCUCCUGGCCAAGUCAUGGUUGGCCAGGGCCGAUGCUCCUUCG
rnacentral:lncRNA from 1 species